GGACAGAGAGCAGAGAGAGACAACAGGUUGGAGGAUCUGAACAGACUCCAGGACAGCUGGAGGAUAGAGAGCAGAGAGAGACAACAGGUUGGAGGAUCUGAACAGACUCCAGGACAGCUGGAGGAUAGAGAGCAGAGAGAGACAACAGGUUGGAGGAUCUGAGCAGACUCCAGGACAGCUGGAGGACAGAGAGCAGAGAGAGACAACAGGUUGGAGGAUCUGAACAGACUCCAGGACAGCUGGAGGACAGAGAGCAGAGAAAGACAACAGGUUGGAGGAUCUGAGCAGACUCCAGGACAGCUGGAGGACAGAGAGCAGAGAGAGACAACAGGUUGGAGGAUCUGAACAGACUCCAGGACAGCUGGAGGAUAGAGAGCAGAGAAAGACAACAGGUUGGAGGAUCUGAGCAGACUCCAGGACAGCUGGAGGAUAGAGAGCAGAGAAAGACAACAGGUUGGAGGAUCUGAGCAGACUCCAGGACAGCUGGAGGAUAGAGAGCAGAGAGAGACAACAGGUUGGAGGAUCUGAACAGACUCCAGGACAGCUGGAGGAUAGAGAGCAGAGAGAGACAACAGGUUGGAGGAUCUGAACAGACUCCAGGACAGCUGGAGGACAGAGAGCAGAGAGAGACAACAGGUUGGAGGAUCUGAGCAGACUCCAGGACAGCUGGAGGACAGAGAGCAGAGAGAGACAACAGGUUGGAGGAUCUGAACAGACUCCAGGACAGCUGGAGGAUAGAGAGCAGAGAGAGACAACAGGUUGGAGGAUCUGAGCAGACUCCAGGACAGCUGGAGGAUAGAGAGCAGAGAAAGACAACAGGUUGGAGGAUCUGAGC